UCAGGAUGAACGCUAGCUACAGGCUUAACACAUGCAAGUCGAGGGGCAGCAUUGGGGUAGCAAUACUCAGAUGGCGACCGGCGCACGGGUGAGUAACACGUAUCCAACCUGCCGCUUACUCGGGGAUAGCCUUUCGAAAGAAAGAUUAAUACCCGAUGGUAUAAAGAGUUCGCAUGUUCUCUUUAUUAAAGAAUUUCGGUAAGCGAUGGGGAUGCGUUCCAUUAGAUAGUUGGCGGGGUAACGGCCCACCAAGUCUACGAUGGAUAGGGGUUCUGAGAGGAAGGUCCCCCCACAUUGGAACUGAGACACGGUCCAAACUCCUACGGGAGGCAGCAGUGAGGAAUAUUGGUCAAUGGACGAGAGUCUGAACCAGCCAAGUAGCGUGAAGGAUGACUGCCCUAUGGGUUGUAAACUUCUUUUAUAAGGGAAUAAAGUGAGGGACGUGUCCCUUUUUGUAUGUACCUUAUGAAUAAGGAUCGGCUAACUCCGUGCCAGCAGCAGC
rnacentral:rRNA from 1 species